rnacentral:rRNA from 1 species
UACGGAGGGAGCUAGCGUUGUUCGGAAUUACUGGGCGUAAAACGCACGUAGGCGGCUUUGUAAGUUAGAGGUGAAAGCCCGGGGCUCAACCCCGGAAUUGCCUUUAAGACUGCAUCGCUUGAAUCCAGGAGAGGUGAGUGGAAUUCCGAGUGUAGAGGUGAAAUUCGUAGAUAUUCGGAAGAACACCAGUGGCGAAGGCGGCUCACUGGACUGGUAUUGACGCGUGA